GAACAGUGGUACAGCCAACCCAGCCAAAAGCCUCCUACAAACCUGUUUUCUUCUUUUCUUUUUCCUACCCUUUUGUAGCCACAGGCAAGACUGCCUCAGAUCUCAUCUUUUAAGUGCCACAACCGAUCCAUUAAAUGUCUUCUCAUGGACAUUUUUUUCAGCUCCGAGGAGUAGAGUUGCUGAGUGAGAAAGGCAUGAGCCGGGCUCUUGCUGCUGGGACUUCCUCCAGACCAGCUUGCAGUCUUAAGAAAAAUGAGUUGGAUGGUCUCAGCUCUGUCCCCAAUGAGCAGAAGCAGUAGAUCACUUCGCAAAAAUGAGCCACGCGUAAUUUGGCACCAUUGACAGAAGACUCACUCGCAGCAGCUCAGGGCCUUGCAGGCUUGAGAUAAUGUGCUGCUAAAAUCACCUCUUGACCCCAGCCCAGGAGGUUCCUCCAGGUCACAAGGGAAGAGGGAGGUAGCAGGCCACUGUGAGAUACCUUGAUAAAUGUACAAGCCCCUACACGUCAGCCUGGCACGCCUGCACCAGUGUGAGCUGCUCUGUUUAUCACAGGAAGAAGAAUUUCUUUCCUGGGUUGUGUUAGAGGACUCCAGACUUCUCAUUUCGGCUGCCUCCUCCUUUUUCCCCUCCAGUGCAGCGAGCCCACUGAAGUGAACUGGUGGCCCUGACGGAGUGCAGAAGCAGGCUGCAUGCAUCUCCUUGUGCUGGAACUGGCAGAGAAAAUCGGACACUGGGACAAACAACCAUAAAUCAGGACUGUCCUGAUUAAAUCAGGCAUGGCUGGCAAAGUUGAGAUGAAGCUGCCUGGUCUGGUUUCCCUUACCUGUAGCUAUCAUGGGGACGAGAGAGAUGUACAUAAUAUGCCCAGAGGAUGCAGUCCUUAUUCCUGAGUUAAACUAAGACCUGGCUCUCUCAUAGGCUUUGAGCUCAGCUGAAUCUCCAUGCCCUCUUUUUUGUAGGGUCUUCAAUUGGCAGCAUUGCAAAUUGUUCCUUGUCUCAGAAACCUGUGAGGAGAAGGAAAGGAGCCCUUAAACCAGGAUACUGGGUUGAAAUUUUGCCUGUGCUUACAACAGUGUGUAACGGAUAUAACUCCCCUGAAGCUGGUGGUGAAGCUGCUAUUCUUCCCUCUGAACAAAUCGAUUCCUAUCUCUAAAAAUAAGUGAAUUAGAAAAGAAGUAAAGCUAGCAUUUAUAAAAUAAAUGUGUUUAUUUGGUAAA